UACGUAGGGUGCGAGCGUUAAUCGGAAUUACUGGGCGUAAAGCGUGCGCAGGCGGUUUUGUAAGCCAGAUGUGAAAUCCCCGGGCUUAACCUGGGAAUGGCAUUUGGGACUGCAAGGCUCGAGUGCGGCAGAGGAGACUGGAAUUCCUGGUGUAGCAGUGAAAUGCGUAGAUAUCAGGAGGAACACCGAUGGCGAAGGCAGGUCUCUGGACAUUUCCUGACGCUGAGGCACGAAAGCCAGGGGAGCAAACGGG
rnacentral:rRNA from 1 species